CGGACCACAAUGUUAGUUCCUAGGGAGGAGGAAAAACUUGAUUUGUUUGAUUUGUUUCCUGUCUAACACAGAUUCCUUCCAGUUAUCUUGUUAAUUUCACUCAAUAGGUUUCUAAAUGUUCUCUAGCAAGGCUCAACUGAUAUUUGAAAACAUGUGUCACCUACAUCUGAAGUUUGAUAUGGUUUAAGUUAGCUCUGAUCAUCAACAUAUUUAUGAGUGGGAAACUUCAUGUGUUUGUAUUCAACUACUUCUUGUCUGAUAUUUGAAAUCUCAAGGCCGGAAAAGCUUGAUUUUCUACCGUCUUUCACCUUGUCACUAUUGAAGUUUGAUCUGGUUUAAGUAAUCUCUGCAGUCUUUACUAAGCCAGACGCCACAAAGUCUUUGAUCCAUCAUGGCGGCAUUCACAGAUAACACAACAGAUUUGACAACUACAGUUACUGAAGGACAAUCUGGAUUAACAACUGGGAACAUUAUAAGCAUCGUCUCUGGUUGUAUCAGCGCAG